rnacentral:tRNA from 1 species
GAUGGGCUGGCUCAAUGGUAGAGUGCUUGCUUUGCAUGCAUGAGGCCUUGGGUUCGAUUCCUCAGCACCACA